UACGUAGGGUGCAAGCGUUAAUCGGAAUUACUGGGCGUAAAGCGUGCGCAGGCGGUUAUGUAAGACAGGUGUGAAAUCCCCGGGCUUAACCUGGGAACUGCAUUGGAAACUAACGGGCUCGAGUGUGGCAGAGGGGGGUGGAAUUCCACGUGUAGCAGUGAAAUGCGUAGAGAUGUGGAGGAACACCGAUGGCGAAGGCAGCCCCCUGGGCUAACACUGACGCUCAGGCACGAAAGCGUGGGGAGCAAACAGG
rnacentral:rRNA from 1 species